rnacentral:rRNA from 1 species
CCUACGGGAUGCUGCAGUGAGGAAUAUUGGUCAAUGGGCGGGAGCCUGAACCAGCCAAGUCGCGUGAGGGAAGACGGUCCUAUGGAUUGUAAACCUCUUUAGGCGGGGAGCAAUGCCGGGCACGUGUGCCCGGAGGGAGAGUACCCGCAGAAUAAGCAUCGGCUAACUCCGUGCCAGCAGCCGCGGUAAUACGUAGGGAGCGAGCGUUAUCCGGAAUUAUUGGGUGUAAAGGGUGCGUAGACGGGAAAACAAGUUAGUUGUGAAAUCCCUCGGCUUAACUGAGGAACUGCAACUAAAACUAUUGUUCUGGAGUGCAGGAGAGGUAAGUGGAAUUCCUAGUGUAGCGGUGAAAUGCGUAGAUAUUAGGAGGAACACCAGUGGCGAAGGCGACUUACUGGACUGUAACUGACGUUGAGGCACGAAAGUGUGGGGAGCAAACAGGAUUAGAUACCCUUGUAGUC